rnacentral:lncRNA from 1 species
UAAACAUUGGUGCAUGGAGAGGAUUCUCUUAGUUACUGGAUGAAAAUAAAACCUUGCCAUAUGAGCAGUUUAACAAAGUUCGCAUUUUAUACUUCAAGAACAUGAGAAUCAGGGAGAUAACAUAGCUGUCUCAAGCAUCCGAAAAACCAACAAUGUAGCGGAAGAAAAACACGGAUUCUGUGUGGCCCAGCAAGGCACGUGAAAACCGAAGGAUAGAAAUUACAGUGGAGAAAGAGAGGAAUGCUGGGAACACCCUCGGCGGAAGAAUGCGGGGAACGCUCGUCCGAGAGAGGCAUUCUGGGAACACAGAGAAACAAGACCGGAGCGUGCUGCCAGGGAGGAAUCCUGGGAAUAUGAUUUAAAAGAGGGGGACGCCCGGAACCUACGUCCGAGGAAGAGGCGGAUGCCUCAACGCUGCAUCAGAGAGGGAAACCAAAAACCUUCUUUCAGAGACAGACGUGGGGUGGGGUUAGGGUGGAUUCCGGAACACUCCCACAGGGAUGCCGGGAACCUCCGUCAGAGAGAGGGGGAUGCUGGGAACAGCCUCAGAGGAACAGAUGCCAGCCACACCCAUCAGCGCGUUCUGGGAGCAGGUCGUCAGAAAUGCUGGGAACACCUCUCUGGGAGAGGCAUGCUGGGAUCACGUCGUCCGAGUGAAGAAGGCCGGAAAUGUGAGGUCCAGUCUCAUGAACUCCGCAGUGAAUUCCUUUCCAUGGUUCCAGCUUGCUAAAGAGAAAUGAAAAGGACGCAAGUCACGCAGCUGGGCACUAAACGUGUAAGUAUUGAACUCUCUCUGUAUGCAUAGUCUUCGGACUGGAUGCAAGGGAAGGUAUCGUAACCACUCUACAUAGGGAGGAUAAAUUCAACCCAUAUAUAUUCCAGAUAUCUUCAGACACACACUACAAGAGUAUGAAAAUGUUUAUAACUUACAAAAUGAGGCUCCCUGAGUAGAGAAGAACAGACUGCCCAAGCUGGUAUGAAAUAGCUUGAGUGGGCAAGGAAGUAACGCUGGCUUGGGGUUUGUAUGAGGAUGAAGUGGUGGGGUCCAAGUGAUAGGUCCUGGGUAUGAACAGGACUUUAAUAAUUUGAGUUUUUCUGCUGGCACAAAAGGAGGGAUCACCUGGCUUUUCUUAGCAGUGUGUUCUGAUGUGGGGUAGAAUAAGGACAAAGUAAGAGUGAGGUUUAAAAGCUGCCAGGAAUCAAAGAUAAAUAAAUUCAGUCAAACUUUAUUACA